CACGUAGGGGGCAAGCGUUGUCCGGAUUUAUUGGGCGUAAAGAGCUCGUAGGCGGCUCAGUAAGUCGGGUGUGAAACCUCCAGGCUCAACCUGGAGACGCCACCUGAUACUGCUGUGGCUAGAGUCCGGUAGGGGAGCGUGGAAUUCCUGGUGUAGCGGUGAAAUGCGCAGAUAUCAGGAGGAACACCGGUGGCGAAGGCGGGUCUCUGGGCCGUAACUGACGCUGAGGAGCGAAAGCGUGGGGAGCGAACAGG
rnacentral:rRNA from 1 species